AUUGAACGCUGGCGGUAGGCCUAACACAUGCAAGUCGAGCGAGCGGCGGACGGGUGAGUAAUGUAUGGGGACUGCCCGAUAGAGGGGGAUAACUACUGGAAACGGUAGCUAAUACCGCAUACUAUCGGAUAACCCAUAUAGGAUUAGCUAGUGGGUGAGGUAAUGGCUCACCUAGGCGACGAUCCCUAGCUGGUCUGAGAGGAUGAUCAGCCACACUGGGACUGAGACCCGGCCCAGACUCCUACGGAGGCAGCAGUGGGGAAUAUUGCACAAUGGGCGGAAGCCUGAUGUAGCCAUGCCGCGUGUAUGAAGAAGGCCCUAGGGUUGUAAAGUACUUUCAGUCGGGAGUCGUUACCGACAGAAGAAGCACCGGCUAACUCCGUGCCAGCAGCCGCGGUAAUUC
rnacentral:rRNA from 1 species